GCUUGUCUCAAAGAUUAAGCCAUGCAUGUCUAAGUAUAAACAAAUCUAUACUGUGAAACUGCGAAUGGCUCAUUAUAUCAGUUAUAGUUUAUUUGAAGGUCCUUGCUACUUGGAUAACCGUAGUAAUUCUAGAGCUAAUACAUGCAUCAAACCCCGACUUUUGGAAGGGGUGUAUUUAUUAGAUGGAAACCAAUGCGGGGCAACCCGGUAAAUGGUGAUUCAUAAUAACUUUCGGAUCGGUCUUCGGAUCGAUGCUUCAUUCAAGUUUCUGCCCUAUCAGCUUUGGAUGGUAGGGUAUUGGCCUACCAUGGCUUUAACGGGUAACGGAGAAUUAGGGUUCGAUUCCGGAGAGGGAGCCUGAGAAAUGGCUACCACAUCCAAGGAAGGCAGCA
rnacentral:rRNA from 1 species